AAUAAUAGAUGCGCGCGUUAUCAACCGUCAUUGCGGAAAUAUAUUUUGUUACGGUUGUUGGUUGUUGGUUGUUACCACAUUGAUGGUUUUAUAAUAUGCUCUUUGAUAAUAUUCUUAUCUAUGGUCGCAUCCACGAAUUAAGAUAUUAUCUUAAUUCGUGGUCGCAACACGGCGCACAAAAUGGUGGUGGUCGGUAAAUGGUAAUCGGCUAUCGGCGGCGGCGUCGGUUUCAAAUUUUCAAUGUUUGCAAGGGAAUACAGUACGGGGUAACUUUAUGGACUAUCAAUUCGCAUGAUUUUAUGACAUCAAUCGACAUGCUCAUCAAUCACAGAUUAUAUAAAAGUCUAAACAAUGUGAUAUUAGAUAAUUUUAUAUUGUAAUAACACAUUUUGGCCGAAAAAUGAUCAGUGAGUGAGUGCCGAAGACUGUCUAUUACCAUAGAAUUGAUACUUAAUUCAAAAGCAAUGUUAUUCCAUGGACCAUCAACAGGAUUAGAUGUGGUAUCCAUAAACUGUGUGGAUUUCAAAUACAGCGUGAUAAACAAAGCAAACAUACCUUUAAUGUCCAAUGCCAUAUUAUCUACCAGUUUGGAAAAAUACAAACCAAAAACUGUCUACAACUUAUCUUCAACAAUAUUUACAAAUCAGCAAUAUGGAACCCAUUCUGGAACGAGACAACCAAUAUUAGGAACAAUGAAUAUAAACUACUGGAUGUUUAAUUUAUUAGAGAUGCAUGGAUUAGUCUAUGUAAAAUAUAUUUCAAUUAUUUAUAUUAUAUACUUACUCAAAUAUUACCAACACUAUUUAAUAAAUUUCUUUAAAGAAAAUCAAAAAAAAUAGGUGUAUUAUAUAAAUUGUAAAUGACAUGAUAUGUAAGAUAAAAAAAAAAAAAACAAUUAUUCUUGUCAUAAAUGCAUCUCAACGUUUUUUAAUCAACUAUACAAACAUUUAUGAUUAAUUAUUUUUAAAAUAAUAUUUAAUUAUAUUAAUUGAGUAAUAUAUUUCGAUUUAAGCCCAUAUAAUAUGCAUAUUAUAUAUUGUAUUUGUCUAUCAUAGAAUUUUACUAUAUCAUAAAUAUUAUUUUUUGUAUUUCUAUAAGUCUUUAUUAAGGUAAAAAUAUUUGUUAUUUGUAUAUACAGUAGAUUGCUUAUCACCCUGGUUAAUUAAUGCCAAGGAUAGUAAGCAUAAAUGUACGGAUAAUUGACCAUACAUAUUUAUUAUUUUUAUACCCACAAUACAUACCGAAAUACCUCGCUAAUAAUCAGCAUUCCAUAAUAAUUUUUUUAUUUUAUAAACAUAAUGCAUAUAUCUUAAAAUGGCAGAUAUUUAAUAUAUGAUUACAUGGAAUAGCAUAAUAUGAAUAGGUAGAUAUGUAAGAGUAUUUAAAAGAUCUUAUUAUUAAUUUUGCUUGUACGUUCAAUUAACAUUCGAUAAUCAGCAAUCUAUUGUAUUUCAAUAUUGGUAAUACUUUACACAGGAUAAUAUAAUAAUGUAAUACUUCAGUGUUCAGUAUAAUGGCCAUUGUUUUACUCAUUUGCAUUGGUAUUUAUAUAUCAUAAAUAAAUUAUUCAUUUUUCUAUGUAUAAUAUAUUAUAAUAUAUUUUAGUUCCAAUGGAGUUGUUACAUACCUACGGGUUAUAAUAGUUCAACCUCUGGUAUCCACUUGGUUCAUAUAAGCAUGUGGUGACAUUAAUGGAUCUACCUUAAUAUAUUUUUAACUUAUUAAUAUUCAUCUAUGUUAAUUAUUCAACUAAUACUUUGUAUUAUUACAGUAGUAACAACAGUUUUAAUUUGGAAAGGCAGUGAACUGAGUUUUUGUUUAUUUUAACUAUGUCAAAGUUUACAUACAAUAUGCUUAUAUUGAGUA